CCAGCCGUAAACGAUGGAUACUAGGUGUGGGGGGUAUCGACCCCUCCCGUGCCGGAGUUAACGCAAUAAGUAUCCCGCCUGGGGAGUACGGCCGCAAGGUUGAAACUCAAAGGAAUUGACGGGGGCCCGCACAAGCGGUGGAGUAUGUGGUUUAAUUCGACGCAACGCGAAGAACCUUACCAGGACUUGACAUUGAGUGAAAAGCUAAGAGAUUAGUUCCCUCUUCGGAGCACAAAAACAGGUGG
rnacentral:rRNA from 1 species